rnacentral:ncRNA from 1 species
CUUUAUGUAUUUAUUUAAACAUUAUUUUAUAUGUAAAUUUUUGUAUUUAAUAGGUAAUUUCUUAAGGGAAAAGUUUUAUUUUAUAUACAGUAAUAAAUAUUAUUGAUAUUAAGUAAUUUUAGAUUUAGUAAUUGUAAUUUGAAUUGGAUAAAUUUGUGCCAGCAUCCGCGGUUARACAUAAGAUUCAAAUAAAUAUUUUUGGUUAAAGUAAUUAUUUUAUAAGUUUUCUAUUUUAUAAAUAUUAAGUGGUGAAAUAUUAAUAUUUAGUAUUUUGGAUAAAUGUUAGUAGAAUGAAAAGAUUAUUAAAUUGUAAGUGGAGACUAGGAUUAGAUACCCUAUUAUUUUUAAUGUAAAUUAAUUUAAACCAGAGUAUUACUUGUUAGGGGCCUGAAACUUAAAGAAUUUGGCGGUAUUUUAGUCUAUUCAGAGGAAUCUGUUAAGUGAUCGAUAGUCCACGUUGAACCUUAUUUAUGUAAUUUCUUGUAUAUCGCUGUUUAUGAAUAUACUUUUAGGUAAGAUUUUCUGAAUAUAUAAUAUAUAUAGUAUUUCAAGUCAAGGUGCAGUAAUAUAUAAGAUUAAAUGGAUUACAAUAAAUUUUAUUUAUAUGGAUAAAAUCUUAAAAGUUGAUUGAAAGUGGAUUUGAUUGUAAUUUUUUAAAGAUUGUAAAAAUGAUUAUAAGCUCUAUAAUAUGUACACAUCGCCCGUCACUCUCGUUAUUAAGAUGAGAUAAGUCGUAACAUAGUAGAUGUAUUGGAAAAUGUAUCUAGAAUAA